rnacentral:rRNA from 1 species
GACGAACGCUGGCGGCGUGCUUAACACAUGCAAGUCGAACGAUGAACCCGGAGCUUGCUCCGGUGGAUUAGUGGCGAACGGGUGAGUAACACGUGAGUAACCUGCCCUUGACUCUGGGAUAACUGCGGGAAACUGUAGCUAAUACCGGAUACGACCCUCGGCGGCAUCGCCAGGGGGUGGAAAGAAUGUCGGUCAAGGAUGGACUCGCGGCCUAUCAGCUAGUUGGUGAGGUAAAGGCUCACCAAGGCGACGACGGGUAGGCGGCCUGAGAGGGUGACCGGCCACACUGGGACUGAGACACGGCCCAGACUCCUACGGGAGGCAGCAGUGGGGAAUAUUGCACAAUGGGCGCAAGCCUGAUGCAGCAACGCCGCGUGAGGGAUGACGGCCUUCGGGUUGUAAACCUCUUUUAGUAGGGAAGAAGCGAAAGUGACGGUACCUGCAGAAAAAGCACCGGCUAACUACGUGCCAGCCGCCGCGGUAA